rnacentral:rRNA from 1 species
CCUACGGGAGGCUGCAGUGAGGAAUAUUGGUCAAUGGGCUUACGCCUGAACCAGCCAAGUCGCGUGAGGGAAGACUGCCCUAUGGGUUGUAAACCUCUUUUGUCAGGGAGCAACGCCUGCUACGUGUAGCCGGACUGAGAGUACCUGAAGAAAAAGCAUCGGCUAACUCCGUUCCAGCAGCCGCGGUAAUACGGAGGAUGCGAGCGUUAUCCGGAUUUAUUGGGUUUAAAGGGAGCGUAGGUGGAUUGUUAAGUCAGUUGUGAAAGUUUGCGGCUCAACCAUAAAAUUGCAGUUGAAACUGGCAGUCUUGAGUACAGUAGAGGUGGGCGGAAUUCGUGGUGUAGCGGUGAAAUGCUUAGAUAUCACGAAGAAAUCCGAUUGCGAAGGCAGCUCACUGGACUGCAACUGACACUGAGGCUCGAAAGUGUGGGUAUCAAACAGGAUUAGAUACCCUAGUAGUC